UAAGCGAAAGUGAUAAGUUAGCCACCUGGGGAGUACGAACGCAAGUUUGAAACUCAAAGGAAUUGACGGGGGCCCGCACAAGCGGUGGAUUAUGUGGUUUAAUUCGAUGAUACGCGAGGAACCUUACCAAGGCUUAAAUGGGAAUUGAUCGGUUUAGAAAUAGACCUUCCUUCGGGCAAUUUUCAAGGUGCUGCAUGGUUGUCGUCAGCUCGUGCCGUGAGGUGUUAGGUUAAGUCCUGCAACGAGCGCAACCCCUGUUACUAGUUGCUACCAUUAAGUUGAGGACUCUAGUAAGACUGCCUACGCAAGUAGAGAGGAAGGUGGGGAUGACGUCAAAUCAUCACGGCCCUUACGCCUUGGGCCACACACGUAAUACAAUGGCCGGUACAGAGGGCAGCUACACAGCGAUGUGAUGCAAAUCUCGAAAGCCGGUCUCAGUUCGGAUUGGAGUCUGCAACUCGACUCUAUGAAGCUGGAAUCGCUAGUAAUCGCGCAUCAGCCAUGGCGCGGUGAAUACGUUCCCGGGC
rnacentral:rRNA from 1 species